AUUUUCUAAUAUAUGAUUCUUACAUGCUGUCACAUUAAGUAUACAAACGAUCAACACUGCCAGUGAACAACUUCAAAAUAUACAAAUCACAUAUUAUAAAUUAAUUAAUGAAAACAUACUUUUGCUAGGCUAUCUUAUAACUUCUAGCAAACUCUUUAUCUAUAUCUUGAAAGGCAACUAACAUUUUAUUUGAAGACAAAUACAGUAGGUUAGUUGCCUUACACGUUUUUCUGUUGGUCACUAGUAGUGCAUGGGUCGUCUUACCUUUCUCUGAUGAAGCUCAGUGCAUAAUACAACCGCUAGUGGAUCCAGUCACGGACUGACCGACCCAUGAAAACCUUAUAUACUCUUCGUGUUUGUCCCCAUGCGCAUUAUUGAGCUCAUGUAUGUUCAGUUGGACUUAUUCCCAUCCUUCAACCAUAUUAGGCCCUGGCAGGGUAAGCUAGGUUGACUUCCUAGUGAAGCGGCGUGUCUCCCACUGUCUCCAGGUUCAUAGUUAGCAUGACUGUCCUUUUAUGGUUUGAUAGUCUUGUUUCAUUACUGGCCCGGCAGGAUCUGUUUAUGGUGUGUGGGCUGAACUGAUGUUGCUACUAGCCUUGUCACACACUGGUUCGUAGUAUAUUUCUAUCAAUUGUAAAAUAGCACGUCUAGAGAUUUGUGCACAAAGCCAAUAUUCAGUGGCAUCCUCAUAUAGUUUGCGCAGUGUUGGCAAAGCAAAACAGUAUCUCAACAGUUGUAUUAAUUGUAUUAUAAGCGGUUUUUACAAGCUAAUAAGUGAUUCAUUGGCGCAAAGGGUUGAUAUAAAAGCCUCCCCGGCCAAACAUAUUUCCAAUAAUCAUAAACGAAGUCAAAAUUAAUUGUAGUAUUGAUAUAAGCUUAGGAUACUUAAUAUUCCUUUUAUUUAGUUUCAUUGAUAACUUGAUAGGUAUUUAUUUAUUAUUUUUCUCUGACCUCUAUAGUGUAAAUUCUAUGAAAAUAUAAGUUUUAAAAUAAGAAAUUAGAAAAAAAUAAUAAUCCGUUUUGUUUCGCAAAUCUAUUUGGUUUUUAAAGAUUUUUAUUUGAAAACAAGACAAAAAAAAUACAUUAAAAAAAUGCUGAUUAUGGUUCUUUAUUUAUUUUUUCUCCAGUGCAGGGAGAUGUGUGGCUGCCCAGCAUACUUUACUCAAAAGAGGCCCGUCUGUGCGAGCAGAUAUCCUGCCAUAGCUGGCCCUUGAGCUUAUGUUGAGCUGAGUGGCAGUCACUGAGGGAAGGCCUGCUUCUCCAUCAGUUUGCGGAAGAGCCCCUGGUCGUUGGCAAGGAGCUUGGUGUGGCUGCCGAUCUCCAUCACACGGUGCUGGUCCAGCACAGCCACGGCAUCAGCGCUCUGGAUGGUAGAGAGUCGGUGAGCGAUGAUCAACACGGUGCGACCUUGCAUCAGCCUCUCUAAUGCCUCCUGUACCAGAAACUCAUUCUCUGCAUCCAGAGCACUGAAACAGAGACCAGGGCACGUCUUAUUAUAAAGUUAUUCUCAUCGUGACAUAAGACAUUACUCUAGAAACAGACGCAUUUUGUGGUUUCUAUUUUUAAAGAUUUCAAACAUGAAGCGAUGUUAAUGUUAAAGUAAAAAAAAGAACAUAAACUGCAUUGUACAUCUCAGGAUAAAUUAAUGAAGGAGUUAAUAGGUUGAUAGUCUGACCAGUUUGAGAAUUCGACAAGUUUGAUCAAUUCUUUUGUACAAAAUCAUGGCAAGAAGGUUGAAUUGUAAAGAUCGUACAGUACUAUUCUUAAUGAAAUAUGAUAAAGU